CGUGAAGCUGGAUUCGCUAGUAAUCGCGCAUCAGCCAUGGCGCGGUGAAUAACGUUCCCGGGCCUUGUACACACCGCCCGUCAAGCCAUGGAAGCCGGGGGCGCUUGAAGUGCGUUGCCGCAAGGCGCGCCCUAGAGCGAAACCGGUGACUGGGGCUAAGUCGUAACAAGGUAGC
rnacentral:rRNA from 1 species